rnacentral:rRNA from 1 species
CACGUAGGGGGCGAGCGUUGUCCGGAAUUACUGGGCGUAAAGGGCGCGCAGGCUGUUAUGCGAGUCUGCUGUGAAAUGUACCGGCUCAACCGGUGCCUUGCGGCGGAUACUGCAUAGCUGGAGUACUGGAGAGGGAAGUGGAAUUUCCGGUGUAGCGGUGAAAUGCGUAGAUAUCAGGAGGAACACCGAUGGCGAAGGCAGCCCCCUGGGCCUGUACUGACGCUCAUGCACGAAAGCGUGGGGAGCAAACAGGAUUA